GAGUAAGAGGGAGCCGGACACGGGAAGAUCUCGGAUCCCCCAGCCCAUACACAGCCCUCCCCCCCGCCGGAGCCGCGCACUCCCCUUUGGAUCCUUUAUUCCUCCUGCCGCCGGGUUUCUGCAGCUCCGCGCAGCCCGGCCCCGCGGAUUUGCUCCUUCUCGGGGAGGAGAGGGAAGAAUAACGGGGUGGAAAGCUCAACUGGGAGCAGAUAACGGGUAAUGGAGUCCAACUGUCGCAAACUUGUAUCCGCGUGUGUUCAGUUAGGGGUGCAGCCUGCCG